rnacentral:rRNA from 1 species
UACGGGGGGGGGCAAGCGUUUGUUCGGAAUUACUGGGCGUAAAGGGCUCGUAGGCGGCCAACUAAGUCGGAUGUGAAAUCCCCAGGCUUAACCUGGGAACUGCAUCCGAUACUGGAUGGCUUGAAUCCGGGAGAGGGAUGCAGAAUUCCAGGUGUAGCGGUGAAAUGCGUAGAUAUCUGGAGGAAUACCGGUGGCGAAGGCGGCAUCCUGGACCGGCAUUGACGCUGAUGAGCGAAAGCUAGGGGAGCAAACGGG